rnacentral:rRNA from 1 species
AUACGGAGGAUCCGAGCGUUAUCCGGAUUUAUUGGGUUUAAAGGGUGCGCAGGCGGCCAUUUAAGUCAGCGGUUAAAUCGUGGGGCUAUAACCCAUUCUGCCGUUGAUACUGGGUGGUUUGAUUGCGGUCGUGGCUGGCGGAAUUCGUUGUGUAGCGGUGAAAUGCAUAGAUCCGACGAAGAACACCGAUUGCGUAGGCAGCUGACCAGACCGCAAAUGACGCUCAUGCACGAAAGUGCGGGGAUCGAACAGGAUUAGAUACCCUGGUAGUCCGCACAGUAAACGAUGAAUACUUGUUUUCGGCGAUAUAAUGUCGGAGGCAAAGCGAAAGCGAUAAGUAUUCCACCUGGGGAGUACGCCGGCAACGGUGAA